rnacentral:rRNA from 1 species
GAUGAACGCUGGCGGCGUGCCUAAUACAUGCCAGUCGAGCGAACGGACGAGAAGCUUGCUUCUCUGAUGUUAGCGGCGGACGGGUGAGUAACACGUGGAUAACCUACCUAUAAGACUGGGAUAACUUCGGGAAACCGGAGCUAAUACCGGAUAAUAUUUUGAACCGCAUGGUUCAAAAGUGAAAGACGGUCUUGCUGUCACUUAUAGAUGGAUCCGCGCUGCAUUAGCUAGUUGGUAAGGUAACGGCUUACCAAGGCAACGAUGCAUAGCCGACCUGAGAGGGUGAUCGGCCACACUGGAACUGAGACACGGUCCAGACUCCUGCGGGAGGCAGCAGUAGGGAAUCUUCCGCAAUGGGCGAAAGCCUGACGGAGCAACGCCGCGUGAGUGAUGAAGGUCUUCGGAUCGUAAAACUCUGUUAUUAGGGAAGAACAUAUGUGUAAGUAACUGUGCACAUCUUGACGGUACCUAAUCAGAAAGCCACGGCUAACUACGUG